GUUAUGGCUUAGUGGUAGAAUGCUUGCUCAGCACACAUGAGGCACUGGGUUCGAUCCCCAGUACCACA
rnacentral:tRNA from 1 species